rnacentral:rRNA from 1 species
UGGGUGGCGAGUGGCGGACGGGUGAGGAAUACAUCGGAAUCUACUUUUUCGUGGGGGAUAACGUAGGGAAACUUACGCUAAUACCGCAUACGACCUACGGGUGAAAGCAGGGGAUCUUCGGACCUUGCGCGAUUGAAUGAGCCGAUGUCGGAUUAGCUAGUUGGCGGGGUAAAGGCCCACCAAGGCGACGAUCCGUAGCUGGUCUGAGAGGAUGAUCAGCCACACUGGAACUGAGACACGGUCCAGACUCCUACGGGAGGCAGCAGUGGGGAAUAUUGGACAAUGGGCGCAAGCCUGAUCCAGCCAUACCGCGUGGGUAAAGAAGGCCUUCGGGUUGUAAAGCCCUUUUGUUGGGAAAGAAAUCCAGCCGGUUAAUACCUGGUUGGGAUGACGGUACCCAAAGAAUAAGCACCGGCUAACUUCGUGCCAGCAGCCGCGGUAAUACGAAGGGUGCAAGCGUUACUCGGAAUUACUGGGCGUAAAGCGUGCGUAGGUGGUUGUUUAAGUCUGUUGUGAAAGCCCUGGGCUCAACCUGGGAACUGCAGUGGAAACUGGAUAACUAGAGUGUGGUAGAGGGUAGCGGAAUUCCCGGU